rnacentral:rRNA from 1 species
UACGUAGGAGGCGAGCGUUGUCCGGAGUUACUGGGCGUAAAGGGUGCGCAGGCGGCGGUUCGCGUGGAUAGAUGAAAUCUCCUGGCUUACCUGGGAGGAUGGUAUCCAGACGGGAUCGCUUGAGGGUCGGAGAGGGGCGUGGAAUUCCGGGUGGAGCGGUGAAAUGCGUAGAGAUCCGGAGGAACACCGACGGCGUAGGCAGCGCCCUAGACGACACCUGACGCUGAGGCACGAAAGCUGGGGGAGCGAACAGG